UAUUAAAAAAAACGCAGAACAGAGGAGUCUAUUGGCAAAAUAGAACGCGACAGAGCUCGCAAUAACGAGAAGCAAUGUUGGCUUGGAGAUGGCAAGAAUUUAGGGAUUUGAAAUCUUGGCCUAAACGCGACGCGGAGAUGGUAUUUUUAUUGCUCAAGAGAAGAAAGAAACUCUUACAGAUUUGCAACAUGAGGGAGGUUCGUGACCCUGCGAGUCUUUUCAACAUGGCUGCAUGCUCCUCCAUCUGUCUCUGUGCAUGCGGCUGUCUGUCUCCCCCUGCCGUGUCCCGGCUCUAAACCAUGUGGGUCAUGUCUGGGUGUGGGAAGAGUGUCGCGGCGUUCCACAAAGCCGUGUUUUCUUCCAGAGUGUUGUCUCCGAAAGCUGGAAUGCUUCAGUGAUGCUGGAAUGUUUUUCUCAGUGUCGUACAGUCGUAUCUUCCCUUUGAACUUGAGGAGUGACUCUGUUGUGUUUUCACAGUCCGUAAAUCAACAGGACGGCUUUCAAUAGCAAUCCUCAAGCCCUGCUGGCGUUGGUAACGUCAAUGUUAAUAAGUGUUUUAUUUUUUUUGAAUGACAUAAUUCAAAAAAAAAAAAAUGUUGUGUCUGGUUAUUAGGUUUGUUUUUAGU